rnacentral:rRNA from 1 species
CUUUUUUUUGCGGUGACACGCAAAUCAAUACAACUUUCAACAACGGAUCUCUUGGCUCUCGCAUCGAUGAAGAACGUAGCGAAAUGCGAUACGUAAUGUGAAUUGCANAAUUCAGUGAAUCAUCGAAUCUUUGAACGCACCUUGCGCCCCUUGGCAUUCCGAGGGGCACACCCGUUUGAGUGUCGUGAAAUCUUCAAAACCUUUU